rnacentral:tRNA from 2 species
GUUAAGGUGGCAGAGCCCGGCUGAAAUGCAAAAGACCUAAGCUCUUUGGACAGGGGUUCAAAUCCUCUCCUUAACU